rnacentral:rRNA from 1 species
CCUACGGGGGGCUGCAGUCGAGAAUCAUUGUCAAUGGGCGAAAGCCUGAACGUGCGACGCCGCGUGUGGGAUGAAGGCCUUCGGGUUGUAAACCACUGUCAGGGGGAAGGAAUAAGCGUGUAACCCACGCGAUGACUUAUACCCCAGAGGAAGUGACGGCUAACUACGUGCCAGCAGCUGCGGUAAUACGUAGGUCACGAACGUUAUUCGGAAUCACUGGGCUUAAAGGGCGCGUAGGCGGCUUCGUAAGUUAUGGUUGAAAUCCGGCGGCUCACCCGUCGAACUGGCCAUAAGACUGCGGAGCUUGAGGUGCGGAGGGAUGCGUGGAACUUGUGGUGGAGCGGUGAAAUGCCCAGAUAUCACAGGGAACACCGGUGGCGAAGGCGACGCAUUGGCCGCAAUCUGACGCUGAGGCGCGAAAGCAUGGGGAGCGAACGGGCUUAGAUACCCCAGUAGUC